CACGCAGGAUUACCUAGGUAAGAAGCUUUUGUGCCAACCAUUGUCUCAGAACAAACGGUGCAUUAUUUUCGACAAAAGUUGAGCUAGUUGUGACAGUUUUGGACUUCUUAAACUCUUUCCAAGUUUAUGUUAUUGUGAAUGAUAUUGAUUAAAUGUGUACUUUGAAGAAGGUACAGCAAACCGCAGAUACCGAGAGACACUCGCGCUGGUCAUUCUCGUAACAACCCACCAAAGUCAACUGCACCGGAAGAUAGUAUACAAGCAGGAUUGCCUAGGCACAGCAAACCGCAGAUACCGGGGGACACUCAAGCUGGUCAUUCUCGUUACAACCCACCAAAGUCAACUGAACCGGAAGAUAGUGUACAAGAAGGAUUUCAUAGGCCCAGCAAACCACAAACACCGGGGGACAUUCAAGCUGGUAAUUUUCGUUACAACCCACCAAAGUCAACUGCACUGGAAGAUAGUGUACAAGCAGUAUUUCCUAGAAGGCACAGCAAACCGCAGAUAUCGGGGGACACUCAAGCUGGUCAUUCUCGUUACAACCCACUAAAGUAAA